rnacentral:rRNA from 1 species
GACGAACGCUGGCGGCGUGCUUAACACAUGCAAGUCGAACGAUGAAGCCUAGCUUGCUAGGUGGAUUAGUGGCGAACGGGUGAGUAAUACGUGAGUAACCUACCUUUAACUCUGGGAUAAGCCCGGGAAACUGGGUCUAAUACCGGAUACGACCAAUCUCCGCAUGGGGUGUUGGUGGAAAGCGUUAUGUAGUGGUUAUAGAUGGGCUCACGGCCUAUCAGCUUGUUGGUGAGGUAACGGCUCACCAAGGCGACGACGGGUAGCCGGCCUGAGAGGGUGACCGGCCACACUGGGACUGAGACACGGCCCAGACUCCUACGGGAGGCAGCAGUGGGGAAUAUUGCACAAUGGGCGCAAGCCUGAUGCAGCGACGCCGCGUGAGGGAUGACGGCCUUCGGGUUGUAAACCUCUGUUAGCAGGGAAGAAGAGAGAUUGACGGUACCUGCAGAGAAAGCGCCGGCUAACUACGUGCCAGCAGCCGCGGUAAUACGUAGGGCGCGAGCGUUGUCCGGAAUUAUUGGGCGUAAAGAGCUUGUAGGCGGUUUGUCGCGUCUGCUGUGAAAGGCCGGGGCUUAACUCCGUGUAUUGCAGUGGGUACGGGCAGACUAGAGUGCAGUAGGGGAGACUGGAAUUCCUGGUGUAGCGGUGGAAUGCGCAGAUAUCAGGAGGAACACCGAUGGCGAAGGCAGGUCUCUGGGCUGUAACUGACGCUGAGAAGCGAAAGCAUGGGGAGCGAACAGG